AUGUGGGAAAUUUUCUCUCUUCUUUCUCAUAGCUUUUGAAUGGCAGACAGUUGAAUGUAUCCCAUAGUCUAUGUUACCUAUACUAGAAGGUUAACCAAUUUUCCAAAAGGUCACAGAUUUUUUUCCACUUACUUGGAGUGUUCAAGUGUCUUACCAAUGUCCUAUCCUUAUCUCAUACAACUAGUUUAAGGUAGAUUAAAGAGCUCAAGUAACAAUCCCUUCGGUCCACAUCCAUUUGAUUACAUUCUGCAA
rnacentral:misc_RNA from 1 species